rnacentral:lncRNA from 1 species
ACGUUUCUGUAAUUCUUCAGGUGAGAGCAAUCUGAAAAUAAAUGCUUUGGGAAUUAUGAAAUUCCCCCAAAAUUGGAAAUUUGAAAGCAAAAUCUGGGAGCACAGGCUCUUGACUCAGAAAUGGCUCUCCAAUUUUUUGCCUCUGUGUUCUCUGUCAGCUGCGCCAGACUGGUGGGGAAUGGCAGCCUGAGGUCAAAGUCUUGAGCUGGGGGUGGAUGCAUCACAAUAACAGAGUCACGGGGUGGAAGAUACAGCCAUGACCAUAAGCUUGACUUCCAGCUUUGUUUCUUUGGUCAGCGCCACUGUGUACAGCCCAUAGGGCCAUCUAGUGGGUCAGCGAGGCCCCGGGAUAAGCAGGUAGCAGAAACUGCCUGAGCACACUGAUUCCCGGGAAAAGGCACUGAGAUUUUAUUUCUUCCCCUGUGUUUCCUGUCAGAUCAUCCAGCAUAUUAUUCCUCACAUUCUUACAUUUCUCAUUCCUUUUCCCCUAGAUGGUUUCUGCUGAGAGCUGGAGGUGAAGUGGUGCAUGCCUGUCCUCUUUCCAUUUAUUGCUGAGGAAAGGUACAACGUGGUCAUUCAGGACUGGUAGUCGAAACGUGUUUCCAGAGCCUGCUUGCCUGUGGAAUACGAAAGUUGAGGACACGAAUAAAGUGAAUGCAUCAGUCAGGAAUCAAAGGUUUGAAAAGUCAUUCAGCCCCUCCAAAUUAGAACACAAACCAUCUGCACAACAGGACGGAGCUCUCCUUAAAGGCUGCAGGCCAGGAUCUGAUCUCAGGGACACCAGGAUCUCCUUUUGGCAGCUGGAUGAGAAGGGCAUGCCACCAUAAAGGAGGGAUCACUGAAACGAGGUUAAAGUUGUAUUCAAAAGCAACACCAGUGCUGUACGUUGCACGUAUCACCACUAUUGAGGGUCAAUACCUCUUCCCUGGAGUCACUGUCAGAGUUCUGUGAGUAAUAUCUGUGAUAACUGAAUCAGGCCCUGCAUAUAGAUUUAAAAGUGAUUAACCCCGCCCCCCCCAAUUAAAAUUCACUUAUAUCAGAAAGGAAUUAAACAGCUAUAAGGCUUGAGUAGUAUUACAAAUUGUAUUAAAUCAGAUGUUUUCUAGUAAGGAAAGGGUAGAUGAAAAGAAGGUGUCCCAGAAAGUGCUUUCUAGUGAGGCCGACUGAGUCAAAUUUGGAUUUUCUGCUCU